UACGGAGGGAGCUAGCGUUGUUCGGAAUUACUGGGCGUAAAGAGCGCGUAGGCGGCUUUGUAAGUUAGAGGUGAAAGCCCGGGGCUCAACCCCGGAACUGCCUUUAAGACUGCAUCGCUUGAAUCCAGGAGAGGUGAGUGGAAUUCCGGGUGUAGAGGUGAAAUUCGUAGAUAUUCGGAAGAACACCAGUGGCGAAGGCGGCUCACUGGACUGGUAUUGACGCUGAUGUGCGAAAGCGUGGGGAGCAAACAGG
rnacentral:rRNA from 1 species